rnacentral:lncRNA from 1 species
AAAAAAGGUGAUAAGAUACGAAUUGAAAUCUACAUCUACAUCUACAUCUACAUCAUACGACGAUCCAUCAGCACAUUGAUGACUAUACGUCGGCGCAUCGCUAACAGACACUUAAUAAAAUAUAAUAACCAAUGAGUGAAAUAAAAUACCUUCUCUGACAUCUCUCACUCUGAGUCAGUCAGUGACUGCUGUGGAAAGUAAACUUGGUAUUGAUAGUACAAAAAUAAAACACAAUAGACCUAAUUACAUUGUUCAUACACUUUUAUCCGGGUUUGGCUAUUUUGUAACUAUUUUACAUGUCUGUUUGUCAUUUGAAU